UACGGGGGGAGCAAGCGUUGUUCGGAAUUACUGGGCGUAAAGGGCGCGUAGGCGGCCUGCUAAGUCGGAUGUGAAAUCCCUCGGCUCAACCGAGGAACUGCAUCCGAUACUGGCGGGCUUGAAUCCGGGAGAGGGAUGUGGAAUUCCAGGUGUAGCGGUGAAAUGCGUAGAUAUCUGGAGGAACACCGGUGGCGAAGGCGGAUCUCUGGGCCUUACCUGACGCUGAGGCGCGAAAGCUAGGGGAGCGAACAGG
rnacentral:rRNA from 1 species